UCUCCGUUGGUGAACCAGCGGAGGGAUCAUUACCGAGUUUACAACUCCCAGACCCCAUAUGAACCUUACCAAACGUUGCUUCGGCGGGAUGCCCCGGGCGCGGGCCGCAAGGCCUCAGCCCCGGAACCAGGCGCCCGCCGGAGGCCCAAACCAAACUCUUGUUUUUGUAGAAUCUUCUGAGUGGCCUUUUAGGCAAAAAAUGAAUCAAAACUUUCAACAACGGAUCUCUUGGUUCUG
rnacentral:misc_RNA from 1 species